rnacentral:tRNA from 1 species
UGGGAGAUCGUUCAAUGGUAGGACAUCUGGCUCUGGACCAGAGUAUCGGGGUUCGAAUCCCUGUCUCCCAG